CGGGUGAGUAACGCGUGAGGAACCUGCCUCAAAGAGGGGGACAACAGUUGGAAACGACUGCUAAUACCGCAUAAGCCCACGGCUCGGCAUCGAGCAGAGGGAAAAGGAGCAAUCCGCUUUGAGAUGGCCUCGCGUCCGAUUAGCUAGUUGGUGAGGUAACGGCCCACCAAGGCGACGAUCGGUAUCCGGACUGAGAGGUUGAACGGCCACAUUGGGACUGAGACACGGCCCAG
rnacentral:rRNA from 1 species